GACAAACGCUGGCGGCGUGCUUAACACAUGCAAGUCGAACGAUGAAGCUGGAGCUUGCUCCGGUGGAUUAGUGGCGAACGGGUGAGUAACACGUGAGCAAUCUGCCCUUGACUCUGGGAUAACUGCGGGAAACUGUAGCUAAUACCGGAUACUUUCACUGGAAGGCAUCUUCUGGUGAAGAAAGAAUUUCGGUCAAGGAUGAGCUCGCGGCCUAUCAGCUUGUUGGUGAGGUAACGGCUCACCAAGGCGACGACGGGUAGCCGGCCUGAGAGGGUGACCGGCCACACUGGGACUGAGACACGGCCCAGACUCCUACGGGAGGCAGCAGUGGGGAAUAUUGCACAAUGGGCGCAAGCCUGAUGCAGCAACGCCGCGUGAGGGAUGAAGGCCUUCGGGUUGUAAACCUCUUUUAGCAGGGAAGAAGCGAAAGUGACGGUACCUGCAGAAAAAGCACCGGCUAACUACGUGCUAGCCGCCGCGGUAA
rnacentral:rRNA from 1 species